GUGAGGAAUAUUGCGCAAUGGAGGCAACUCUGACGCAGCCAUGCCGCGUGCAGGAAGAAGGCGCUACGCGUUGUAAACUGCUUUUAACCGGGAAGAAACCCCAGGACGUGUCCUGGGUUGACGGUACCGGAGGAAUAAGCACCGGCUAACUUCGUGCCAGCAGCCGCGGUAAUACGAAGGGUGCAAGCGUUAUCCGGAUUCAUUGGGUUUAAAGGGUGCGUAGGCGGAGCGUUAAGUCAGUGGUGAAAUCCUGCAGCUUAACUGUAGACUUGCCAUUGAUACUGGCGCUCUUGAGUGCGCUUGAAGUGGGCGGAAUGUGCCGUGUAGCGGUGAAAUGCUUAGAUAUGGCACAGAACACCAAUUGCGAAGGCAGCUCACUAAGGCGAUACUGACGCUGAGGUGCGAAAGCGUGGGGAGCAAACAGGAUUAGAUACCCCAGUAGUCC
rnacentral:rRNA from 1 species